rnacentral:rRNA from 1 species
GACGAACGCUGGCGGCGUGCUUAACACAUGCAAGUCGAGCGGUAAGGCCCUUCGGGGUACACGAGCGGCGAACGGGUGAGUAACACGUGGGUGACCUGCCUCUAGCUCUGGGAUAAGCCUGGGAAACUGGGUCUAAUACCGGAUAUGACUCCACGGCGCAUGUUGUGGGGUGGAAAGCCUUGUGUGGCUAGAGAUGGGCCCGCGGCCUAUCAGCUUGUUGGUGGGGUGAUGGCCUACCAAGGCGACGACGGGUAGCCGGCCUGAGAGGGCGACCGGCCACACUGGGACUGAGACACGGCCCA